CGGGGUGCAGCAGCAGUGAGGAAUAUUGCACAAUGGGGGGAACCCUGAUGCAGCAACGCCGCGUGGAGGAUGACGCAUUUCGGUGUGUAAACUCCUUUUAUAUGUCAAGAAAAUGACGGUAGCAUAUGAAUAAGCACCGGCUAACUCCGUGCCAGCAGCCGCGGUAAUACGGAGGGUGCAAGCGUUACUCGGAAUCACUGGGCGUAAAGGACGCGUAGGCGGGUUGGAAAGUCAGGUGUGAAAUCCUACAGCUUAACUGUAGAACUGCACUUGAAACUUCUAAUCUAGAGUAUGGGAGGGGGAGAUGGAAUUAGUGGUGUAGGGGUAAAAUCCGUAGAUAUCACUAGGAAUACCUAAAGCGAAGGCGAUCUCCUGGAACAUUACUGACGCUAAGGCGUGAAAGCGUGGGGAGCAAACAGGAUUAGAUACCCUUGUAGUC
rnacentral:rRNA from 1 species